UGUUAGAGUGGAAGAGGGUGAUAGAGAUGAGAGAAAGAGAUUAUCAAAAGCAUUGAUUUUAUUAUUGACUUUGGUACAAUUUAUAGAGUUACAAAUUGUACAAUUACUUAACAAACAAGCUAACUAAUUCUAACUGACAUAGUUAGUUAGCAACUAACCAACAAUACACAAAGUAGUUAUAACUAACUGUUACAACUAACUAACAUCAAAUACUAACUUGCAAAGCAAGUAACAAACACAAUACAAACAGUGAAGACAAAUGUGGUGACAGAUGCUCCAACAUCUGUUGCAGCAUUUGGAAGGAUUGAAUUGCUUUCUCAACACUCCCCUUCAAUUCAAUUUCUCUGUCUUCACAACGCCUAACAUG
rnacentral:lncRNA from 1 species